AACGAACGCUGGCGGCAGGCCUAACACAUGCAAGUCGAACGAGGUCUUCGGAUCUAGUGGCGGACGGGUGAGUAACGCGUGGGAACGUGCCCUUCUCUACGGAAUAGUCCUGGGAAACUGGGUUUAAUACCGUAUACGCCCUUCGGGGGAAAGAAUUUCGGGGAAGGAUCGGCCCGCGUUGGAUUAGGUAGUUGGUGGGGUAAUGGCCUACCAAGCCGACGAUCCAUAGCUGGUUUGAGAGGAUGAUCAGCCACACUGGGACUGAGACACGGACCAGACUCCUACGGGAGGCAGCAGUGAGGAAUAUUGGACAAUGGAGGCAACUCUGAUCCAGCCAUGCCGCGUGAGUGAAGAAGGCCUUAGGGUUGUAAAGCUCUUUUCAAUUUGCGAAGAUAAUGACGGUAACAAUAGAAGAAGCU
rnacentral:rRNA from 1 species